rnacentral:rRNA from 1 species
UACGGGGGGGGGCAAGCGUUGUUCGGACUUACUGGGCGUAAAGGGCUCGUAGGCGGCCAACUAAGUCAGACGUGAAAUCCCUCGGCUUAACCGGGGAACUGCGUCUGAUACUGGAUGGCUUGAAUCCGGGAGAGGGAUGCGGAAUUCCAGGUGUAGCGGUGAAAUGCGUAGAUAUCUGGAGGAACACCGGUGGCGAAGGCGGGUCUCUGGGCAUGUCCUGACGCUGAGGAGCGAAAGUGUGGGGAGCGAACAGG